UUAAGGAAGUUGUCUUUCUUUAUUUGCCAAUGCUAAGAAUAAGUCUGUGUUUUAAGGAAGUUGUCUGGAAAAGGGAUUUCAGUGAUUGACAUUAUAACAGAGAAGGGAAAAAAUAAGUAUCUUUGUCUGAUGAGUAAAUAAUCAACAAAAAUACAAGAGUUCAACAGUUUUUGAUUUAUUCCUACAUGCUACUCAACGCAACUUUUUUCCAUCCAGAGUUGGGAGUGAUAACGGUAAAUGUGGAUCUAGCUGCUUUUAUGACCACACAUAGGGGUUCAUGGAAAUGUGAAAUUGCCACAAACUAAGUUCUGAAAGUUGAAAUCCUCCUGACCAGCUAUUCGUUCAAGGAUCACUUAGUCUGUUUCGUCAUGAUACUCCAGCUAUCAACGAAAUAUUUGGUGAUGGCAUGAAUAAUGAAUAUGGUGUUGACUGGAAUGGACCCAUUGUACUUACAGCAGAAAGCAACAAUCUAACAGUCGUCCUAACAAACAGCCCCAUUUCUAUGGUGGACUACUUACAGUUACAAUUAGAGGUGUACCCUCUUUCAGAUAUUCACAAUGAUGAUGGUAUCUAUGCAAAAGUGGUUAAGGAAGAAGCUACUUCUCUGAAAACACUUUCAAAAACACAGGAAAAGGUGGAUUACAAGGCAAUAACAAUGAGAGAUGAUAGUGGUGAAAUCAAACUGUCACUGUGGGGACAGCAUGUCAGUCUUUCUCUAUCAGUCGUGGAGUUGCUACAUUGCAAAUGUGAAAACACAUGUAUACAACAAUGAGAUGUCACUUAACAAUACAUUCACACUAAAUUAGAGGGUAGAGAAGCACCAGUCAGAAGCAUAAAUGUAAUUGUAGAUGGAUAUUACAUAGAAGACGACCAUAUAGUGUUGGUAUGUAAUAUACCUGGAACAGAUGAAGAUGAGUACAAAGAUUACAACAUCCAAGAAGACUUGAUGUCAUCCAUUGCUGGUGAUGGAGAAGAAGUAGACACUGUCCUACCCCCACUACUACCUCUGUUUGUAAUGAUAGAAAUAAAAGGAAAUGACAAUGCAAUACUGACAAUUAACAUAUGUUAAAUAAGAUAAUUUAGUAUUACUGCUGUAUGACAGUGCUCUCCUCAGAUAUUGCAUUAAGGGCAUACGAUAUAGUUUUG